GCAGAGGGGGCUUAGUGGUGGGGUGACUGCGUACCUUUUGUAUAAUGGGUCAGCGACUUAUAUUCUGUAGCAAGGUUAACCGAAUAGGGGAGCCGGAGGGAAACCGAGUCUUAAUUGGGCGUUAAGUUGCAGGGUAUAGACCCGAAACCCGGUGAUCUAGCCAUGGGCAGGUUGAAGGUUGGGUAACACUAACUGGAGGACCGAACCGACUAAUGUUGAAAAAUUAGCGGAUGACCUGUGGCUGGGGGUGAAAGGCCAAUCAAACCGGGAGAUAGCUGGUUCUCCCCGAAAGCUAUUUAGGUAGCGCCUCGUGAAUUCAUCUCCGGGGGUAGAGCACUGUUUCGGCUAGGGGGCCAUCCCGGCUUACCAACCCGAUGCAAACUGCGAAUACCGGAAAAUGUUAUCACGGGAGACACACGGCGGGUGCUAACGUCCGUCGUGAAGAGGGAAACAACCCAGACCGCCAGCUAAGGUCCCAAAGUCAUGGUUAAGUGGGAAACGAUGUGGGAAGGCCCAGACAGCCAGGAUGUUGGCUUAGAAGCAGCCAUCAUUUAAAGAAAGCGUAAUAGCUCACUGGUCGAGUCGGCCUGCGCGGAAGAUGUAACGGGGCUAAACCAUGCACCGAAGCUGCGGCAGCGACGCUGAUGCGUUGUUGGGUAGGGGAGCGUUCUGUAAGCCUGCGAAGGUGGCCUGUGAGGGUUGCUGGAGGUAUCAGAAGUGCGAAUGCUGACAUAAGUAACGAUAAAGCGGGUGAAAAGCCCGCUCGCCGGAAGACCAAGGGUUCCUGUCCAACGUUAAUCGGGGCAGGGUGAGUCGACCCCUAAGGCGAGGCCGAAAGGCGUAGUCGAUGGGAAACGGGUUAAUAUUCCCGUACUUGGUGUUACUGCGAAGGGGGGACGGAGAAGGCUAUGUUGGCCGGGCGACGGUUGUCCCGGUUUAAGCGUGUAGGUGUGUGUUCCAGGUAAAUCCGGUUCACUUUAACACUGAGGCGUGAUGACGAGGCACUACGGUGCUGAAGCAACAAAUGCCCUGCUUCCAGGAAAAGCCUCUAAGCAUCAGGUAACAUCAAAUCGUACCCCAAACCGACACAGGUGGUCAGGUAGAGAAUACCAAGGCGCUUGAGAGAACUCGGGUGAAGGAACUAGGCAAAAUGGUGCCGUAACUUCGGGAGAAGGCACGCUGACACGUAGGUGAAGUGAUUUACUCACGGAGCUGAAGUCAGUCGAAGAUACCAGCUGGCUGCAACUGUUUAUUAAAAACACAGCACUGUGCAAACACGAAAGUGGACGUAUACGGUGUGACGCCUGCCCGGUGCCGGAAGGUUAAUUGAUGGGGUCAGCGCAAGCGAAGCUCCUGAUCGAAGCCCCGGUAAACGGCGGCCGUAACUAUAACGGUCCUAAGGUAGCGAAAUUCCUUGUCGGGUAAGUUCCGACCUGCACGAAUGGCGUAAUGAUGGCCAGGCUGUCUCCACCCGAGACUCAGUGAAAUUGAACUCGCUGUGAAGAUGCAGUGUACCCGCGGCAAGACGGAAAGACCCCGUGAACCUUUACUAUAGCUUGACACUGAACAUUGAGCCUUGAUGUGUAGGAUAGGUGGGAGGCUUUGAAGUGUGGACGCCAGUCUGCAUGGAGCCGACCUUGAAAUACCACCCUUUAAUGUUUGAUGUUCUAACGUGGACCCGU
rnacentral:rRNA from 1 species